rnacentral:lncRNA from 1 species
GACAUGCAGUGGCAAAGGCCGGAGUGAAUGGGUUUAGCCACAGCAGGCACCUGGUCACCAGAGCUGCCUUCCGUGCUGACUGUUGUGGAUGUCGCUGCCAUCAGUGACCCCCUCAUUGACCUCAAGGUCUCCAUGUCCCAGCACAACUCUAUCCACAGCAAGUUCCAUGGCACAGUCAAGACAGAACAGGAAACCUGUCAUCAAUGGGAAGGCCAGCUCCAUCUUCCAGGAGUGAAAUCCGGCCAACAUCAGAUGAGGCGGUGCUGGUGCCCACUGUGUUGUGGAGCUUACUGUGUCUUCACCAUCAUGGAGAAUAGAGACAAAAGGUUAUCCUAUCUACCUUGUGCUGAUGACCCUGUGACUGUGAUAGGUGUGAACCGUGACAAGUAGGAUAACUCUCUCAGCUUUGUUAGCAAUGUCUCCUGCACCUCCACCUUGUUCAGCCCCGUCACGGACGGCUGAGGUCAUCCACGCUAUCACCGCCAUCCACAAGACUGUGGACAGCCCCUCUGGAAAGCCGUGGUAUACGGCUGAGGAUACUCAGAGUAUCAUCCCUGGAUUCACUGGUACUGCCAAGACUAUGCGCGAGGUCACCCCAGAACCAACAGGUUGCUCAGGGGCAAGCAUGGCCGUCUGUGUUCUUAUCCCCGGUAUGUCUGCUGUGGAUCUGCUGUGCCACCUGAAGAAAGCUGACAAGGAUGAUGGCAUCAAGAAGAAGGCCCACUGAAGGGCAUCCCAGGCUACAGUGAGAACCAGGCUGUCUCCUGUGACUUUAACAGUGAAACCCACCGUUUUACCUUGGAUGCUGGGGCUGGCAUUUCUCUCAAUGACAACUCUGUAAAGAUCAUUUCUUGGUAUGACAACAAACAACACUACAGCAACAGGGUGGUGGACCUCACGGCCUGCAUGUCCUCCAAGAGCA